UCUAGAACUCAAGAUAUGGGUUGAACAUUGAACAAUGUCUGGGCUGCAGGAUAGAUUCCGACUUCUCCGUUGUUGCUAAGAUUUGGACUUCCAAACAUCAGAAUUGAGUCUUGGACUCCAAUGAAUGUUUUAGGCCUAUGUCUUAACUUUCUAGC
rnacentral:pre_miRNA from 1 species